rnacentral:tRNA from 1 species
GAGGGUAUAGCUCAGCAGUAGAGCACAUGCUUAGCAUGCACAAGGUCCUGGGUUCAAUCCCAGUACCUCUA